rnacentral:rRNA from 1 species
UGGGGAAUUUUGGACAAUGGGCGAAAGCCUGAUCCAGCAAUGCCGCGUGCAGGAUGAAGGCCUUCGGGUUGUAAACUGCUUUUGUACAGAACGAAACAGUCUCUCCUAAUACGGGGGGCGAAUGACGGUACUGUAAGAAUAAGCACCGGCUAACUACGUGCCAGCAGCCGCGGUAAUACGUAGGGUGCAAGCGUUAAUCGGAAUUACUGGGCGUAAAGCGUGCGCAGGCGGUUUUGUAAGACAGAUGUGAAAUCCCCGGGCUCAACCUGGGACCUGCAUUUGUGACUGCAAAGCUAGAGUACGGCAGAGGGGGAUGGAAUUCCGCGUGUAGCAGUGAAAUGCGUAGAUAUGCGGAGGAACACCGAUGGCGAAGGCAAUCCCCUGGGCCUGUACUGACGCUCAUGCACGAAAGCGUGGGGAGCAAACAGG